GUGCUCGUUUCGGCAGCACAUAUACAAAAAUUGGAACGAUAGAGAGAAGAUUAGCCUGGCCCCUGCGCAAGGAUGACACGCAAAAUUCGUGAAGUGUUCCUUAUUUUU